UUUUUCCUUGGAAUAAAAAAAGGAUUUAAUUCCCAACUGGAUUUUUCCUUGGAAAAUUUGCCCUCAGGCCCAGCAAGGAGCUGAGUAAAGCUUGGAGCUGCCAGUGUCUCCCGCUGGGUUGGAGAGCGUUUCCCUGGGAGAGGAGGCCGGGAAGAGCGAGCUGAUGAACGAGGACAUCCGGAUCCAUUCCUGGCCUUGCUCCUACUACCUGGACACCAGCAAACAAUGGAUCCCCGGGAAGCUCUCCCUGACUCCCCUUUCCAUCAAAUUCACUGCUGACAAAACGGGAGAGCUCCUGGUGGAUUUCCAUCUUUCCGGGAUCAGCGAGAUCAAGAAGGAAUCUUCCCAUUUAAUAUUCAGCUCCCUCACCAUCCUGGAGAAGGGCACCAAGCACUGGUUCAGCUCCCUGCAUCCCAACAGGAAUGUGGUGUUCAACAUCCUGGAGCAUUUCUGGAGGGAGCAGCUGGUGUCCAGCCAGGAGGCCGGAGCGGGGGCGGCCUUGGAAUCCAGCAAGGGCAAGGAAUUAACGGGAAUGUUGGAGGGAUCCCAGAAACGCCUGGAGGACACGGCCAAGGUGCUGCAUUCCCAGGGGGAACAGUUUGACAACAUCAUGAAGGGACUCCACAAGAUCGAGGGGGACAUGGAUGUGGCUGACAGGCUGUUAACAGAGCUGGAAUCUCCUUCCUGGUGGCCCUUCAGCACCAAACUCUGGAAAACCCCUCUGGAAGCAAAGCCCAAGGAAACCCCCGCUGCUCCGGAUGCCAAAAACCAGGAAGGAAUCCUGCUGCGAAUCCCCGUGAUCAUCACCCACAGGACAGAUUCCAACGCCAAACCCGGCAAACUCACGGUGCUUCCCUCCGGCCUGGAAAUCAAGGAUUGCAAUUCCCAGCUCCUGCACCGCUUCGAAUCCCGGGAUGUGGAUGACAUCCGCGUGCACACUCCCUACGAGAUCAGCAUCCGGCAGAGGUUCAUCGGCAAGCCCGACACUUCCUACCGGCUCCUGGCGGCGCGCAUGCCGGAGGUCAUUCCCAUCCUGGAGAUGCAGUUCAGCAAGAAAAUCCAAUUUUUGGAGGAUGCUCUUGGAUUUGCUGGAGCCAGGAAGUCCCCUCAGGCGGAUUUGGGAACGUCCAUCUGGCAGGCAGGCAGGAUUUUUUCCUUACUAUGGAAUUUCUCUGGCAGCCACGGGAUUCCUGGGAGCCGCGGUGAAUCCCGGAUUGCCGGCGGGAAGCGCCGAAGGGACGGACAAGGAGCAGGUGCAGCUGCAGAAAGUAUCCCAGGAGGAAGCCAAGGAGCUCCGACAGAUCCUGAGGAAGCUCAAGGGCCUGGCCCUGGAGACGGAAGCGGAGCUGGAGAGGCAGGACGAGGCCCUGGAUUCCAUCGGCAGCGCCGUGGAUCGCGCCACGCUCAACAUCGAUCGGCAGAACCGCAGGAUGAGGAAGCUGACGUAACUUCCCGGCGGGAACGGGAACGCCGGGAAGAGCAGCAGGGUGGGGGAGCCGGGAUUUUCAGGACUGGUUUUUCCACAGACACUUUGGGAGGGGUUUGGGAGGAGGUCUGGAAAAUGGCGCUGCUGGGGGUGAGUUCCUGAGAGGAUUGAAACGAUUCCUGGACUUGGAUGAGGUUUGGAUCUUGAAUGGCGGUUGGAUCUUGGAUGAGGUUUGGAUGUUGGAUGAUGGUUGGAUCUUGGAUGAGGUUUGGAUCUUGGACAGUGUUUGGAUUUUGGAUGAUGUUUGGAUCUGGGAUGGCAGUUGGAUGUUGGAUGAGGUUUGGAUCUUGGAUGAGGUUUGGAU